UUUUCUUCAGGAUAGCUGGCGCUCUCGCACACGAACCCACGCUGUUUUAUCCGGUAAAGCGAAUGAUUAGAGGUCUUGCGGCCGAAACGAUCUCAACCUAUUCUCAAACUUUAAUUUUUUUUUCUUAAAAGAUUUUAUUUUUAUUUAUUUGAUAAGAGAGUGUGUGCAU
rnacentral:ncRNA from 1 species